rnacentral:misc_RNA from 1 species
GUCACAUGGUAAACCCAGCACUAAAUUAUUGCACUCCACCCUUGUCAUGACAUCAAUUGUUGGUACUUCAAUGCAAGACAUCAAAUGUUUUCUUCUCCCGGAGGUAAUUCUGCAGGCUUCUGAGGUGUCCCAAGUACUCGUUCCAUAUCAAAACGGACUUCAAUGUUGCGGAUACUGUAUCCAACCACCAUCAGCCAAUAAAGCAGUUU